rnacentral:tRNA from 1 species
GUCCAUGUAGCUCAGUUGGAUAGAGCAAAUGCCUCCGACGCAUUAGGUCGCAAGUUCGAUUCUUGUCAUGGACACCA